rnacentral:rRNA from 1 species
UUCGAGUCGUUGAUUUCACACUGCCGAGAAAAGCCUCUAGAUAGAAAAUAGGUGCCCGUACCGCAAACCGACACAGGUAGUCAAGAUGAGAAUUCUAAGGUGAGCGAGCGAACUCUCGUUAAGGAACUCGGCAAAAUGACCCCGUAACUUCGGGAGAAGGGGUGCUCUUUAGGGUUAACGCCCAGAAGAGCCGCAGUGAAUAGGCCCAAGCGACUGUUUAUCAAAAACACAGGUCUCUGCUAAACCGUAAGGUGAUGUAUAGGGGCUGACGCCUGCCCGGUGCUGGAAGGUUAAGAGGAGUGGUUAGCUUCUGCGAAGCUACGAAUCGAAGCCCCAGUAAACGGCGGCCGUAACUAUAACGGUCCUAAGGUAGCGAAAUUCCUUGUCGGGUAAGUUCCGACCCGCACGAAAGGCGUAACGAUUUGGGCACUGUCUCAACGAGAGACUCGGUGAAAUCAUAGUACCUGUGAAGAUGCAGGUUACCCGCGACAGGACGGAAAGACCCCGUGGAGCUUUACUGUAGCCUGAUAUUGAAAUUCGGCACAGCUUGUACAGGAUAGGUAGGAGCCUUUGAAACGUGAGCGCUAGCUUACGUGGAGGCGCUGGUGGGAUACUACCCUAGCUGUGUUGGCUUUCUAACCCGCACCACUUAUCGUGGUGGGAGACAGUGUCAGGCGGGCAGUUUGACUGGGGCGGUCGCCUCCUAAAAGGUAACGGAGGCGCUCAAAGGUUCCCUCAGAAUGGUUGGAAAUCAUUCAUAGAGUGUAAAGGCAUAAGGGAGCUUGACUGCGAGACCUACAAGUCGAGCAGGGUCGAAAGACGGACUUAGUGAUCCGGUGGUUCCGCAUGGAAGGGCCAUCGCUCAACGGAUAAAAGCUACCCCGGGGAUAACAGGCUUAUCUCCCCCAAGAGUUCACAUCGACGGGGAGGUUUGGCACCUCGAUGUCGGCUCAUCGCAUCCUGGGGCUGUAGUCGGUCCCAAGGGUUGGGCUGUUCGCCCAUUAAAGCGGUACGCGAGCUGGGUUCAGAACGUCGUGAGACAGUUCGGUCCCUAUCCGUCGUGGGCGUAGGAAAUUUGAGAGGAGCUGUCCUUAGUACGAGAGGACCGGGAUGGACAUACCUCUGGUGUACCAGUUGUCGUGCCAACGGCAUAGCUGGGUAGCUAUGUGUGGACGGGAUAAGUGCUGAAAGCAUCUAAGCAUGAAGCCCCCCUCAAGAUGAGAUUUCCCAACUUCGGUUAUAAGAUCCCUCAAAGAUGAUGAGGUUAAUAGGUUCGAGGUGGAAGCAUGGU